GAAAGAGGGAAGCAAGGCGUGAACAGCUCCAAAGUUUGCAAUGAAAAUGAUUCAUUCACUUUGCUUACAAGUGAAGACAAACAGAAGGGUGAAAGACGAGUGAGAGAUAAGUGAGAAAUGUACAUAAAAUCUGUUCAGAGACAGAUGCAGAGAAAUCAUAGUGGGUAAACAAUCUCUCAGAUGAAAACAAAAAAACAAAAAAAAAAGCACAUUGAUCUGUUUUGUUAUGCCGUCAGGCUUCCAGACACGGCCGGGUCUGCUACCCAGCUGUUUGUUUCCACUGGUUCACAGCACCGAGAACAAAGUAAUCACAGCAGAGAAGAAGCUUUGUUUGCAACCACACCUCUGCGAACACAUCCAGGGACGCAGAGCUGCUGACGUCCAUGACACCCUCAGCAAGCUGCUGAUGAAAAAGUCUCUAUUCCUGCUCUCUCUCUCUCUCUGUCCGUCUCUCUCUCUCAGCUCAGAAGAAUUGGUGAUUAGAAAGCUGUUUCUGCCUGUAUGAGAAUGACGUCACGGAUGUGAAAACCGUCUGACACAUGCAGCGGCACACAGACGCUGACUUUUUUUUGACGCAGUAGUUUGAGAAUCAGAGUGCAAUGUUUUUUGGCAGCCCUGCUGAAAUAUGUAUGAUCUGCCGACUGGAAGAUGCAAAUGCGGGAAAAAGUGUGGUGCGGUAGUCUGGCUGCAGCCUCAGUCGGGCAUACAAAACGACUGCAAAGCACUGCUUAUGUAUACUUGUAAGAUAAGUUAAAUAAGAUCUCAAGCCACAAAGGCUUGGAUUACAUGGUGAAACUGCCUCACUUUCAUGCAGUCAAGCUCUGCAGAGCUCUGGCAACGAGUUCAGAUUGGACCCAGGUGUGCUGAGGCAGAGUGGCAUCUAAAGUUGCAGGACUCUAGCCCUCGAGGAAUGCAGUUUGAGACCCGAGCUUUAAGACGUAAAAGAAAAAUCAAUAUUGUGGUUCUUUAGUUUCGUCAUAAAACGCAUAAAAUUCAUGUUGCGUCUUUUUCAAAUCUCCUGUAAACGUUUUAUGCUCUAAAAACACGAUGUGACUCCUGACAAAAUUUGAUUUAGUGUUAAAUUUGAAAGUUUUCUAUCCAAUGUGUACCCUGAAGAAACGGUGGAGCUGAUGCCAUGUGACCUGAAAGCUGGAGUGGGGAUAGAGAGCAGAAGUUGUCUCCUUUUGUUUGUGAAAGCUGCAGCCUCUGGCAGAUUUGUUAUUUUUAAUUUAUCACAAAACUUCAUCACCAGCAUUUGCAACAAGUGCAUCUCGUUAGCUACAGAGCGGCUCUUCGCUGCGGCGCUUCUGCUGGUGAAGAAAAGACAGCCCUCCACAAAAUUAUUACCGUUUUCCCCUCUGACCAACUCAGUGUCUGUUUUUAUAUGAGCAAUAUGACCCUCCACCCAGUAAUACACCAGCGGUUACAUGAGUGUGAGUACAGUAAGGAAAUUGGUUGUUCAUUUUAGCAGCUAAAGGAACUCUAAUUGGUGUCUAAUUUGAGCUCUCAUACUCACUGCUAAGCUAAAGGGUUAUUUUUAUGUUUUCCAGUAAUACGGGCUGAAAUUGAUUAUCUCUGCCAGUAAAUCUGAAAUAUUGAAUCUG